UGCAAGGAGAGAGAAUUGUAUUCCGUCGCCGGAGAGGAAAGCUUCGCUACUUUACGCCAUGAACUUCUAUUUCAUCAGGGUUCUUCCGUCAAGAACUCCGGUCAUCAUUGAGAUUCCUUCCUCUGCAAGUUUCAAAUUACAGCUUUCGGUUUCAGGUGAAGAAGAAACAGCUCUUCGCAACUUUCUGGCAAUCAUAUUGUUUGGUGCUUUUGGAAGUGUGAUAUCAUUCUUCAUCAUAUCAGUAGGUUCUUAAACAAGAUGAGACGCCUUGGUGAAAGUGUGGUCAAUGAUGUUAACUCUUCGAUGCAAUCAAGAAAUUUCACCUCUCACGUAACUUCAACAAAUGUCAUUGUAAGAUCCCACAUUGGUUGGGGAGGAGAACGAAUCACCUUUUAUAAAGAUGUGA